CGGGCCGGUGGGGAGGGGGGGGGCCGGGCCCGAGGGUGGUGAGGGGCGAGGGUGUGGGAAAGAGGCCGCGAUGGGCGCGCCCGCGCGGGCUGCCUGGACGUGUCCGUAGCCCCGAAGGCCCCGGGCAGCCCGGUGCCUUUUUUACAGCAAACCAGUCGAUGUUAAAAAACGGCUUGGCCGCUCUCCAGGAGCGAGGGCGGAGGUAUGCGGUGAGCACAGGCGGGAGCCCGCAGCGGUGCUGGGGGACGGUGCUGCACCGGGGCAGGUGGGCCCCGUGCCUCAAACACUGCCGGCCUCCGCGGGGCAGCGCUCUUCAAACCCAGCAGUCGUUUCUUCUAAUAAAUAAUGCACUACGCUUACACAUACAAGUUUGAGGGAGAUGGAGUUGUUACUGUGUGACCGCUAUGAAGGAGGUUGUGGUGAAGAGGCCUCUUCUCCCAGUAACAGCUACAGGACGUCAGAUUGAAGGGAAAUCUCUCCCUGUUGCUUGCUGGUGGUUUCUCCUGUGCCAUGCCAAGGUGUGAGCCUACAGAUUUUGGCACUUCUUUCCUGGAUUUGUUUGAAGAAUGAACGUCACUGAGAAGGCGGUGUGAUCCAAACCAGCUUUCCUGGCCUGAGCUGUUCAUUACCAUCACACCAAGCAUGACUGUAAAUGACCUUCUGUACCCUUGAUUGUAACUACUGAGUACAGUAAACACCGCCUGGACAUCGCCUCUGCAAAAAUCUCCCCUUUCUUCCCCUGGGGCUCUUGUCAGCUCCAGGAUGACAGGAAGCAUCUGCAUCAGCUCCCAGCAACACUUCAGUGGUGCUUGCAGACAAAUUCCUAUUUCCCAAAGAUGGGAAGAAGAUUCCCAGAAGAAGGAGGUCAACUGCCUCAGACAGAAGGGCCAUGGAAGAGCCCCUUGGACACUCCCCUUGGCGGACAAUAUGCUGAUGCACGUUAGUGACUUGAUAGCGAGCUCUUGCUUUGUGGGGGCUGCUGAAGGAUGUCCUUGGUGCUUCUGUGCAGUUACGGGCUCACUGAGUCUCUCCACCAGCAUGCCACUGUGGGUUUGGCUGCAAGGCUUUCAAAGCCUGAGUGCAGCGAGCAGUGCCCAGGUGGCGUUUCUGAUGGCAUCCAUGAUGUGUCUUCUGGUAGAGGAAUGAAUAGAGCUGCUAACCACUGACCCUUGCAAACCUGCCAGAGGGAAAAAAAACAAUAAAGGAAAGUAGGCAGCAGAGCAGGGCCACACUAUUUCUAGCAACUGAGAGCUCUGAUCAGGAGAUGGACAGGUGAGGAUUUCAUUGCACUGGGGGGCAGGCUGCAGUGUCUUCCAGGCCCGAGCGGUCUGCCUGCUGUGGGGCUGCACGCCAGCAUACCCAAUAGUGUGCUAACUGUUGCUGUUUAAUCUCCAGCAUCUUGUUUGACGCCUCGGUGUAAUAAUGAUGGAAAUAAUAAAUGGCGUGCUACAAAGCCGUGUGCGUGGACUCGCUUUGUGCUGACGGCGGUGCCUUGCUCCCGGCGCGGCUCGGUGCCAGCCUGCUUCCAGCUGAGUCAGUUGGAGCAGGCAAAGGCCCAGCUCAACAGCUGGC
ensembl:lncRNA